AGGGUUCCAGACACUCAUGAAGAUCCUGGGUAUGACCUGUGGAUGCUGUCACUGAAGAAAGGAAAAAUUAGGGGUGGUAUGUGUGCAAGCUGUGUGAUGGGAGGCAACUGAUUUUAACCCUGGCCUUUGCAUCCAAACACUCUCUUCAGAUUGGAGUGCGAUCCAGUACAAAAUCUGAGUGGGGCAAUGGAAAGUUAAUAAACUUCCUGUAAUCCAGCUUUGUGGGUUUGUUCACUUUGAAAAAGAAAGAAAGAAAGAAACCCAAGAGGGUACAGGGAAAUUCCACAUCUUCAGCGUUCCUGGAAGCGCGGCUGCUCCCUC